GACGAACGCUGGCGGCGUGCUUAACACAUGCAAGUCGAACGCUGAAGCUUGGUGCUUGCACUGUGUGGAUGAGUGGCGAACGGGUGAGUAAUACGUGAGUAACCUGCCCUUGACUCUGGGAUAAGCCUGGGAAACUGGGUCUAAUACUGGAUACGACAUGUCACCGCAUGGUGGUGUGUGGAAAGGGGUUUACUGGGUUUGGAUGGGCUCACGGCCUAUCAGCUUGUUGGUGGGGUAAUGGCUCACCAAGGCGACGACGGGUAGCCGGCCUGAGAGGGUGACCGGCCACACUGGGACUGAGACACGGCCCAGACUCCUACGGGAGGCAGCAGUGGGGAAUAUUGCACAAUGGGCGGAAGCCUGAUGCAGCGACGCCGCGUGAGGGAUGACGGCCUUCGGGUUGUAAACCUCUUUCAGCACGGAAGAAGCGGAAGUGACGGUACGUGCAGAAGAAGCGCCGGCUAACUACGUG
rnacentral:rRNA from 1 species